rnacentral:rRNA from 2 species
GGUUAAGCGACUAAGCGUACACGGUGGAUGCCCUGGCAGUCAGAGGCGAUGAAGGACGUGCUAAUCUGCGAUAAGCGUCGGUGAGGUGAUAUGAACCGUUAUAACCGGCGAUUUCCGAAUGGGGAAACCCAGUGUGUUUCGACACACUAUCAUUAACUGAAUCCAUAGGUUAAUGAGGCGAACCGGGGGAACUGAAACAUCUAAGUACCCCGAGGAAAAGAAAUCAACCGAGAUUCCCCCAGUAGCGGCGAGCGAACGGGGAGGAGCCCAGAGCCUGAAUCAGUGUGUGUGUUAGUGGAAGCGUCUGGAAAGGCGCGCGAUACAGGGUGACAGCCCCGUACACAAAAAUGCACAUAUUGUGAGCUCGAUGAGUAGGGCGGGACACGUGGUAUCCUGUCUGAAUAUGGGGGGACCAUCCUCCAAGGCUAAAUACUCCUGACUGACCGAUAGUGAACCAGUACCGUGAGGGAAAGGCGAAAAGAACCCCGGCGAGGGGAGUGAAAAAGAACCUGAAACCGUGUACGUACAAGCAGUGGGAGCCUCUUAAUGGGGUGACUGCGUACCUUUUGUAUAAUGGGUCAGCGACUUAUAUUCUGUAGCAAGGUUAACCGAAUAGGGGAGCCGAAGGGAAACCGAGUCUUAACUGGGCGUUAAGUUGCAGGGUAUAGACCCGAAACCCGGUGAUCUAGCCAUGGGCAGGUUGAAGGUUGGGUAACACUAACUGGAGGACCGAACCGACUAAUGUUGAAAAAUUAGCGGAUGACUUGUGGCUGGGGGUGAAAGGCCAAUCAAACCGGGAGAUAGCUGGUUCUCCCCGAAAGCUAUUUAGGUAGCGCCUCGUGAAUUCAUCUCCGGGGGUAGAGCACUGUUUCGGCAAGGGGGUCAUCCCGACUUACCAACCCGAUGCAAACUGCGAAUACCGGAGAAUGUUAUCACGGGAGACACACGGCGGGUGCUAACGUCCGUCGUGAAGAGGGAAACAACCCAGACCGCCAGCUAAGGUCCCAAAGUCAUGGUUAAGUGGGAAACGAUGUGGGAAGGCCCAGACAGCCAGGAUGUUGGCUUAGAAGCAGCCAUCAUUUAAAGAAAGCGUAAUAGCUCACUGGUCGAGUCGGCCUGCGCGGAAGAUGUAACGGGGCUAAACCAUGCACCGAAGCUGCGGCAGCGACACUAUGUGUUGUUGGGUAGGGGAGCGUUCUGUAAGCCUGUGAAGGUGGCCUGUGAGGGUUGCUGGAGGUAUCAGAAGUGCGAAUGCUGACAUAAGUAACGAUAAAGCGGGUGAAAAGCCCGCUCGCCGGAAGACCAAGGGUUCCUGUCCAACGUUAAUCGGGGCAGGGUGAGUCGACCCCUAAGGCGAGGCCGAAAGGCGUAGUCGAUGGGAAACAGGUUAAUAUUCCUGUACUUGGUGUUACUGCGAAGGGGGGACGGAGAAGGCUAUGUUGGCCGGGCGACGGUUGUCCCGGUUUAAGCGUGUAGGCUGGUUUUCCAGGCAAAUCCGGAAAACCAAGGCUGAGGCGUGAUGACGAGGCACUACGGUGCUGAAGCGACAAAUGCCCUGCUUCCAGGAAAAGCCUCUAAGCAUCAGGUAACAUCAAAUCGUACCCCAAACCGACACAGGUGGUCAGGUAGAGAAUACCAAGGCGCUUGAGAGAACUCGGGUGAAGGAACUAGGCAAAAUGGUGCCGUAACUUCGGGAGAAGGCACGCUGAUAUGUAGGUGAAGCGACUUGCUCGUGGAGCUGAAAUCAGUCGAAGAUACCAGCUGGCUGCAACUGUUUAUUAAAAACACAGCACUGUGCAAACACGAAAGUGGACGUAUACGGUGUGACGCCUGCCCGGUGCCGGAAGGUUAAUUGAUGGGGUUAGCGGUAACGCGAAGCUCUUGAUCGAAGCCCCGGUAAACGGCGGCCGUAACUAUAACGGUCCUAAGGUAGCGAAAUUCCUUGUCGGGUAAGUUCCGACCUGCACGAAUGGCGUAAUGAUGGCCAGGCUGUCUCCACCCGAGACUCAGUGAAAUUGAACUCGCUGUGAAGAUGCAGUGUACCCGCGGCAAGACGGAAAGACCCCGUGAACCUUUACUAUAGCUUGACACUGAACAUUGAGCCUUGAUGUGUAGGAUAGGUGGGAGGCUUUGAAGUGUGGACGCCAGUCUGCAUGGAGCCGGCCUUGAAAUACCACCCUUUAAUGUUUGAUGUUCUAACGUGGGCCCCUUACCGGGGUUGCGGACAGUGUCUGGUGGGUAGUUUGACUGGGGCGGUCUCCUCCUAAAGAGUAACGGAGGAGCACGAAGGUUGGCUAAUCCUGGUCGGACAUCAGGAGGUUAGUGCAAUGGCAUAAGCCAGCUUGACUGCGAGCGUGACGGCGCGAGCAGGUGCGAAAGCAGGUCAUAGUGAUCCGGUGGUUCUGAAUGGAAGGGCCAUCGCUCAACGGAUAAAAGGUACUCCGGGGAUAACAGGCUGAUACCGCCCAAGAGUUCAUAUCGACGGCGGUGUUUGGCACCUCGAUGUCGGCUCAUCACAUCCUGGGGCUGAAGUAGGUCCCAAGGGUAUGGCUGUUCGCCAUUUAAAGUGGUACGCGAGCUGGGUUUAGAACGUCGUGAGACAGUUCGGUCCCUAUCUGCCGUGGGCGCUGGAGAACUGAGGGGGGCUGCUCCUAGUACGAGAGGACCGGAGUGGACGCAUCACUGGUGUUCGGGUUGUCAUGCCAAUGGCACUGCCCGGUAGCUAAAUGCGGAAGAGAUAAGUGCUGAAAGCAUCUAAGCACGAAACUUGCCCCGAGAUGAGUUCUCCCUGACCCUUUAAGGGUCCUGAAGGAACGUUGAAGACGACGACGUUGAUAGGCCGGGUGUGUAAGCGCAGCGAUGCGUUGAGCUAACCGGUACUAAUGAACCGUGAGGCUUAACCUU